UCCCUAGUGGCUCAACUGGUAAAGAAUCCACCUGAAAUGUGGGAGACCUAGGUUCAAUCCCCAGGUUGGGAA
rfam:TPA: Bos taurus chromosome 14, whole genome shotgun sequence.